CUGAACACAGAGAUCAGACAGGUGUUCAGAGUUGACCUAGUUUCUGAGGAUGUCAAAACAAAAUCAGUCUAGCUUCAGAGGGUGACAGCACAAACAUGCACCUGGCUGAUGUGGGCGGUGUUUCAUGUUUUAUCCUGCUUCCUUUGACAUUAUUGACAUAAAUUGGCUCUGUAGAUACUACUGUAACUUUGUUUCUUCUUGUAUCAUAAACUCCCUUUUGAGGUAUGAUGUCCCCGUUUUACCCCGUUUCACUACUACAUGGAACAAGUGUCUUCUGCCUCACACAUAACAAUGGCCCUGCCGAUACCUCUGACCAGAUGCAGAGUAGAGCAGCCUUUUGGACAAUACAGUAUUAAUCCUGUGGACGGAAAUCAAGCUGCGACCAUAUACUGUAUGGAAUCACUACCCUGCCAACUGGCACUCCAAGCUGGGAAACAACCUAGGUGAAGUCUGGAGGGUUGGAUGCGAUGAAGGUCACCAAUCAAAGGAAGAGCCCAGGGUCCAGGAGGAAAGUUGGUCGGCACUCUGUUCUUCAAAACAUCAGUCAACAACAGAAAAACACACAGAAAUAUUAAAAGACUCGUGCCGUCCAUCCACUC